GGGUAUGUGCUUGUAUGCGUUUUGCUCUGCAAAGGUGAAAUUUUGGUUUGUUCCUCGUGCCUU
rnacentral:tRNA from 1 species